rfam:Schistosoma mansoni strain Puerto Rico chromosome W, complete genome
GUCCAGCUGACGAGUCCCAAAUAGGACAAAACACGCGUCCUGGAU